UGAACGCUGGCGGCGUGCCUACUACAUGCAAGUCGAGCGAACAGACGAGGAGCUUGCUCCUUUGACGUUAGCGGCGGACGGGUGAGUAACACGUAGGUAACCUACCUAUAAGACUGGGAUAACUUCGGGAAACCGGAGCUAAUACCGGAUAAUAUUUCGAACCGCAUGGUUCGAUAGUGAAAGAUGGCUUUGCUAUCACUUAUAGAUGGACCUGCGCCGUAUUAGCUAGUUGGUAAGGUAACGGCUUACCAAGGCAACGAUACGUAGCCGACCUGAGAGGGUGAUCGGCCACACUGGAACUGAGACACGGUCCAGACUCCUACGGGAGGCAGCAGUAGGGAAUCUUCCGCAAUGGGCGAAAGCCUGACGGAGCAACGCCGCGUGAGUGAUGAAGGUCUUCGGAUCGUAAAACUCUGUUAUUAGGGAAGAACAAACGUGUAAGUAACUGUGCACGUCUUGACGGUACCUAAUCAGAAAGCCACGGCUAACUACGUG
rnacentral:rRNA from 1 species